rnacentral:rRNA from 1 species
AAGGGUCCGUAAAACGGUAAAUUAAGCGACUUUUAUAAUGAAAAAAGAAAUUAAAUCGAACUAAUUUACUAGAGUCUUAUAGAGGAACAGAGGAAUUGCAAGAGUAAGGAUAAAAUCUAUUGAUACUUGUAGGACCGCCAAUGGCGAAGGCAUCGUUCCAGGUAUAGACUGACGUUGAGGGACGUAGGCGUUGGGAGCGAAAAGGAUUAGAUACCCCUGUAGUCAACGCUGUAAACGAUGAGUGCUUAAGAUUAGUUAAAAAUAAUAAUUGUUUUGAAGGACAAUUCAAAAUUAGUCUCGAAAUGAAGAUGUUAAGCACUUCACCUGGGGAGUACUGUCGCAAGGCUGAAACCCAAAACAUUAGACGGUCACGGAAACCAGCAGUGAAGCAUGUUAUUUAAUACGAUGAUCCGCGUACAACCUUACCACUUCUUGAAUGUCCUUUUUUUUAAAGGCCUAUUUAAUUAAUAUUAAAAAUUUUUGCUGUCCUUAUGAUUAAUUCAUAAGUUAAAGCCGAAAUUAUUUUUUUGAUGAAAUUAAAUUUGGAUAAAUACAACAUUUAAUAAUAAUUAUUAUUAUUAUUAUUAAAUUAGUAUAAUCCUAUUUAUUAUUUUAACAACAUUAAUUAAAUUUGGAUAAAUACAACAGGCGUUGCAUGGCUGUCUUCAGUUCGUGUCGUGAGAUGUCAGGUUCAUUCCGGUAAACGAAUGAAACCCUUCUUUCUUAAUUUUUAAUUUAUAUUCUUUUCUUUGAAAUAAGUUAGAAUUAAAUUCAUUAAGAUGAUUCUUGGAUAACGAGGAUAUAAUGGGGGAUUAAGACAAGUCGUCAUGGCCUUUAUGAAGUGGGCUAUAGACGUGCCACAAGAGCCUUUACAAUAGGAUGCUAAGACGUGAGUCAGCGCUAAACCUUAAAAAAGGCUAUGUUCGGAUUGUAGUCUGCAACUCGACUACAUGAAGCAGGAAUUGCUAGUAAUCGUAA